rnacentral:rRNA from 1 species
CUCUUCCAGAGUAUCAAUUGGAGGGCAAGUCUGGUGCCAGCAGCCGCGGUAAUUCCAGCUCCAAUAGCGUAUAUUAAACUUGUUGCAGUUAAAAAGCUCGUAGUUGAAUUUCUGCUGUAUCGUUUUCCUCUGCUUGACAGUUGGAUUUCGUUAUGGCUUAGUUGGGUUACAGAUCUUGUUACCCAACGUUUACUUUGAGAAAAUUAGAGUGCUUCAAGCAGGCUUUUGCCUUGAAUACUUUAGCAUGGAAUAAUGGAGUAGGACUUUGGUUCUAUUUUGUUGGUUUUAGGAGCCAGAGUAAUGGUUAAUAGGAACAGUUGGGGGCAUUCGUAUUUGACUGUCAGAGGUGAAAUUCUUAGA